GACGAACGCUGGCGGCGUGCCUAAUACAUGCAAGUCGAGCGGGCUUUUGAGCUUGGAAGCCUUCGGGCGGACGAGCUUAAAAGCUAGCGGCGGACGGGUGAGUAACGCGUAAGCAACCUGCCCUCCAGUGGGGGAUAACUCGCCGAAAGGCGGGCUAAUACCGCAUGAGCUCUCUCUGGGGCAUCCUGGGGAGAGGAAAGGCCCUUCGGGGUCGCUGGAGGAGGGGCUUGCGUCCCAUUAGCUAGUUGGUGGGGUAACGGCCCACCAAGGCGACGAUGGGUAGCCGGCCUGAGAGGGUGACCGGCCACACUGGGACUGAGACACGGCCCAGACUCCUACGGGAGGCAGCAGUAGGGGAUCUUGCGCAAUGGGCGAAAGCCUGACGCAGCGACGCCGCGUGGGGGAAGAAGGCCUUCGGGUCGUAAACCCCUGUCCCAGGGGACGAGGCAGGACGGUACCCUGGGAGGAAGCCCCGGCUAACUAC
rnacentral:rRNA from 1 species